ensembl:lncRNA
UAGAAUCAGCUUAAAGGCCUAAAGUAGAUUCUGACAUUGACACUUUUCUCCCUUCUGAUUCAAUUCACAGAGCCAAUGACACUUAAGCGGCCAAGUAGUUUACAAGCAUUAAGGAAUCAUCACU